CCUACGGGAGGCAGCAGUGGGGGAUAUUGCACAAUGGGGGGAACCCUGAUGCAGCGACGCCGCGUGGGUGAAGGAGCGUUUCGGCGCGUAAAGCCCUAUCGGCAGGGAAGAAGAUGACGGUACCUGACCAAGAAGCCCCGGCUAACUACGUGCCAGCAGCCGCGGUAAUACGUAGGGGGCAAGCGUUAUCCGGAUUUAUUGGGUGUAAAGGGUGUGUAGACGGGAAAACAAGUUAGUUGUGAAAUCCCUCAGCUUAACUGAGGAACUGCAACUAAAACUAUUUUUCUUGAGUGCUGGAGAGGAAAGUGGAAUUCCUAGUGUAGCGGUGAAAUGCGUAGAUAUUAGGAGGAACACCAGUGGCGAAGGCGACUUUCUGGACAGUAACUGACGUUGAGGCACGAAAGUGUGGGGAGCAAACAGGAUUAGAUACCCUGGUAGUC
rnacentral:rRNA from 1 species